rnacentral:lncRNA from 1 species
CGUGUUUGUAAAGGUGUUUCAGUUUGUUGUUGUGUGGUUGGAACGAGGGUGAGAGGUCUGUGUUUGUAAAGGUGUUUCAGUUUGUUGUUGUGUGGUUGGAACGAGGGUGAGAGGUCCAUGUUUGUAAAGGUGUUUCAGUUUGUUGUGUGGUUGGAACGAGGGUGAGAGGUUCGUGUUUGUAAAGGUGUUUCAGUUUGUUGUGUGGUAGGAACAAGGGUGAGAGGUCCAUGUUUGUAAAUGUGUUUCAGUUUGUUGUGUGGUAGGAACGAGGGUGAGAGGUCCAUGUUUGUAAAUGUGUUUCAGUUUGUUGUUGUUGUGGUUGGAACGAGGGUGAGAGGUCCAUGUUUGUAAAGGUGUUUCAGUUUGUUGUGUGGUAGGAACGAGGGUGAGCGGUCCAUGUUUGUAAAGGUGUUUCAGUUUGUUGUGUGGUUGGAACGAGGGUGAGAGGUCUGUGUUUGUAAAGGUGUUUCAGUUUGUUGUUGUGUGGUUGGAACGAGGGUGAGAGGUCUGUGUUUGUAAAGGUGUUUCAGUUUGUUGUUGUGUGGUUGGAACGAGGGUGAGAGGUCUGUGUUUGUAAAGGUGUUUCAGUUUGUUGUUGUGUGGUUGGAACGAGGGUGAGAGGUCUGUGUUUGUAAAGGUGUUUCAGUUUGUUGUUGUGUGGUUGGAACGAGGGUGAGAGGUCUGUGUUUGUAAAGGUGUUUCAGUUUG